rnacentral:lncRNA from 1 species
UCCACUCUCCGAUCCAAAUCCUUCCACGUAUGGGGUUCUGUUCAUCGUAGCUUCUGAAUUUCCUACCAUUGUAUCCUUUCUCUAAGGAUUGAUCAAGAAAUUUUUCUAGGAAAAGUUAAUUAAUACGACGUGUAAGAAACUCAACGUAACAGAAAAUUCGAGCAACUAAUGCGAGAGGCUUCUUCAAGUAUUUUGAAUCAGCUCUCAAUGAAAGCACCAAUUUGUCAAUGCGAAUUUUCACGGUCUUCAGUCUUGAUGAAAAUGCACCUGCAAAAUAAUCAACAUCUUUGAUCAAAGACCUAAGCCUCACGCACCCCCGAGGUGUUGGGGGGGUUAGGUCAACGGAUCUCCGAUGCCUAAGUUAGUUUCUCUGAGAGAGUAAAAUGUUUAGGGCUUUUUUAGGGUUGCAAAAGCUCUCAAAAAUUCGUAGAAUAUAGGGUAUUUAUAGGGCUAGGGCCAGCCAUAUAGUGUUUAAUGGAGAGAUAUUCUCUAAACAUUCCCAAGAUAUUUAAUAGGAGAUAAUAUCUUAAGAUAAUGGGGUAAUUAUCCCUAAUUGAUUUAAAUUAGGAUUACUUACUUGAUUGGAGUCAAUCUUAAAUUAGGAAUGAAUUAAAGAUAGGAUUUGGGUAAUUAAUCCUUAUCUUUAAUUCCUUACCAAGGGCAGGUGAGCUGUGGGCAGUUGUGUUCAGCUGUUGAGAUCUUCAGGGAUGUGAACUGGGAGUGGGAGCAUCUGAGAAACCUGCUCAUUUAUUUAGGGCAAUUUUUUCCUUAUUGAAUAAAAGUCCACGUGUCACCUCUAAAAUUUUUGGGAUUAUUUUAGGCUCCACAAUAUUAAUACAUGGGUGCAUGAAUACAAAAUGACACUGAGAGAAAAUCCUUUACAUAAAUUCAUAUAAUCUUUUCAUCUAAAUCGUUGUUGAGAAUUUAUACCUUUCGCUCAACCUUAAGAUCUGCAAUUUUGGUUGUUUCCUGCUGUAGAUCCGAGUGUCCUGCACAAGAUAUACACAUGCAUUAGGUACAUCUCAUCUCUCUCUUCCAUUUCAUCUAAGCAAAAGCACAAAAAUCACAGACGGAGAAAGCAUUUUUACCUUGCAUGGAGGACAAAGAUUACAGUGAUGGCUGUACUAAGAUGGGAUGGAUCUGGUGAUUGAACAAGGAGGCGAGUUUGUUUCAAGUUUAGGGGUAGCAGGUUGUAAUUCGAAUUUGAGCUAUGGUUAUGGAGGCACGGCUAGGGAGCAGCAGUUUUGUGUUAGGGUUUGAGAGAAAUGAAGAGAAAGGAAGAGAGCUCUCAUGGCUCUGGGCUCGAGACUAAAGAGAAGAAGGGAGAAGAGCUCAACGGCAUAAAUGGGAAAUGAAGGAGCAUGGGCUGCUAAAUGGUUAUAUAAAGAAGCAUCUAGAUUUAUUCACACAUGUGGUUCUGUGUGUUGUGUAAAGCUCAGCACCUCUUAAUGUGAUCUAGGUUAGGGGUUCCACUCCAAAGCUCAACACCUCUUCUUAUACAUUUUCAAAAUUUUACGAUGCUCCCUGGUCCUCUUCCGGGUCCCGGUUCGAAUCCCAGGUGUGUCAGUUUCCUUAUCUUUUCUUUUCUGUUUUAUUUGUUAUUUUAUAUUUUUUUUAUUGUUUUCGAUUUUUAUUUCCUAAUUUUAUUGUCCUAGUUUAUUUUCUUUAUCUUUGUUAGUUGUUUUAAGUUUUUAUUUUACGACUUAUUAUUUUUGUUUCUUUUCGUUUAUUUUAUUUUCCACAUUAAGGACAAUGUGUGAUUUAAGUUUGGGGGUGGGAAAUAAGAAUUUUUAAAUUUUUAUUUUUGAGUCAUGUUAAAAAAUUUCGUUUUUAAGUUAAUAUCCAUAGAUUAUUUUAAACAUUAGAACAAAUGGACAUGGUGAAUGUUAAUCUCACAGUAGAGUCUUUUCUAUUUACCGUUGCUUAGACACUAAUUCAUGAGUUGUACAUUGAAAAUUUGCACAUUCACAUCAACAUGAUUUGUGGGGAGUGAGAUGGGAACACUUAAUUUUGGUCUAUGUUAAUUUUUAAUUUUUGUUCUUAAUAAAGUAAAGUUUAGUUCGUAUCAUAAAAAAUAAAAAAUAAAAAGAGUAAUAAUUGUUCCACCAAAGACUUUGCUUAGUAACCAGGUCAGUUCUGCUUGAUCAACAGUGAUUCUCGCUUCAAACGGUAGUGUCUUGACAUGGGUUGGUUCAAACGGUAAUGCCUUUUUAGCGCGAGUUAAUAAGUUCUUAGAGGUGUUCUACACCUAGUGCCUUCACGACCUUGUGGUUUGGGAGUCAUUGACCUAAAGCUCGUUACAUGGGUUGAUUCGAAAGCUUAAGGGAACUGACAUUGCAUGACCACUACUAUUACUGAAAGAAAAAAAAUUAAAAAUAUAUACAUAUAUCAAGUUAGUAUGUGACACACCCCAACCCGGAAUGUCCACUAGAUCUUUGAAAUUGAGAUGUGUUGGUUGGCACCUGGAAGGUGACGAAGCCAUAAAGUGUAGUUGUGUGGAAGAUGUGAAUAAAUUUAAACCUAAAGGUGCCAAAAUAUAAGAGUGCGUUGGUGAGCAGGAUUGAACCCACCUCACACGUGAUGUCAGAGCAUAAGUAAAGUACAGUAUAAUAGGGUGAGAAUUAUAGCAUCGAAGGUACUCGUCUGCACCAAUAUUUGCCAAUAUUCCUCGUCAGCACAAAAGCUCUGCUACCAGAACCUGGAAGGGUAAAAAACAGAAGGGUGAAUGGGCAAAAACAAAACUUUAGAAAACACAUUUCUCUUUUCUAAAAGUUAUAACCCCUCGCUAUAAAACUUGUAUAGUUUCCAGAAAAUACUACUACGUAGGUAUGAAAACCAAUGCACAAAAGCAUAAAAAACUGAAGUAUGCCAUGUCAUAAUAUCUCAGCAAUAAUAAAUGUAAGCCAGGUAUGAAACCAAUUUAAAAUAGUAUGCCAGUCGGAGUCACCUAACGUGACAUGUACGACUAGACCUGUAGCUCAUCAAUCUAGGCUAACACACGAGUCGGAGUCACCUGGUGUGACCUGUACAACAGGCUAGGUAUAAAUAUGUACGCUCAAGUGCUACGAUCACAUAAAAGCUAUGCAAUAAUUCGGGGGUCACCUAUGAGUCGGAACCACCUAUUGUGGUCUGUACGACAAGCUGGCACCAAACUUGGAUCCAAGGUGAGCGUGCGGUAUGGGAGGUGAACAAUCAAGUGAAGGCUGGCCCUAGCCCCGAGCGGGAGCCCUAAUACCGGGCUACAGCCAUGAUGAGCUCUAAAUAAAUGUGUGCAUACCAAUGCAAUACAACUCAUUCAAUCACAUAAUACUC